UAGGGAAUCUUCCGCAAUGGACGAAAGUCUGACGGAGCAACGCCGCGUGAGUGAAGAAGGAUUUCGGUUCGUAAAACUCUGUUGUUAGGGAAGAAAAAAUGUAUAGUAACUAUAUACAAAAGAGACGGUACCUAACCAGAAAGCCAUGGCUAACUACGUGCCAGCAGCCGCGGUAAUACGUAGGUGGCAAGCGUUGUCCGGAAUUAUUGGGCGUAAAGCGCGCGCAGGUGGUUUAGAAAGUCUGAUGUGAAAGCCCACGGCUCAACCGUGGAGGGUCAUUGGAAACUAAUAAACUUGAGUGCAGGAGAGAAAAGUGGAAUUCCUAGUGUAGCGGUGAAAUGCGUAGAGAUUAGGAGGAACACCGGUGGCGAAAGCGGCUUUUUGGCCUGCAACUGACACUGAGGCGCGAAAGCGUGGGGAGCAAACAGG
rnacentral:rRNA from 1 species